ACGAACGCUGGCGGCGUGCUUAACACCUGCAAGUCGAACGGAAAGGCCCUGCUUUUGUGGGGUGCUCGAGUGGCGAACGGGUGAGUAACACGUGAGUAACCUGCCCUUGACUUUGGGAUAACUUCAGGAAACUGGGGCUAAUACCGGAUAGGAGCUCCUGCUGCAUGGUGGGGGUUGGAAAGUUUCGGCGGUUGGGGAUGGACUCGCGGCUUAUCAGCUUGUUGGUGGGGUAGUGGCUUACCAAGGCUUUGACGGGUAGCCGGCCUGAGAGGGUGACCGGCCACAUUGGGACUGAGAUACGGCCCAGACUCCUACGGGAGGCAGCAGUGGGGAAUAUUGCACAAUGGGCGGAAGCCUGAUGCAGCAACGCCGCGUGCGGGAUGACGGCCUUCGGGUUGUAAACCGCUUUCGCCUGUGACGAAGCGUGAGUGACGGUAAUAGGUAAAGAAGCACCGGCUAACUACGUG
rnacentral:rRNA from 1 species